GAGGAAGAGGAAGGUGGUAGGAAAUUCUAGGGACAUGCUGCUAGAGGCUUGAGGAAAGAGCUGGCAUGUGUGUUCUGUAGCUAGUGCAGAGGUGGCAGGUAAAGAGGAGAAAAAGCCCAAAGGAUUAACAAUUUAGGGGGAAGUUAGCCUCCAGAGGAGCAAGUUGUGGCAGGCAAGUGUCUGUAGAGCCUGAGUAGCAGUGAACUGCCUGAAAAGGGUUACUUGAAAAUUUAGAGACUGAGCCUGAGUGGGGCAGAGUCUCCUGGCUGGGGCAGAGAGAAGAUAGGCUACCUCCAGUAUGAGCACAGGCGCUACCAGUGAGACAGCCUAUGGGGAAGUCUGCUUAUGAAGAAGAGGACUGAAGCUGAGGAUUUUGUCCUUUUUGACCCCAGAAGGAGUUGAAUAUUUUAAAGUAGCUUGGCUGAAGAUUGUUGUGGGGAAACUGACAAGAGCAUUGUCAUGCUGGGUCUUGCUGCAAAGGAGUAUGCCAAGAGGGUGUCUUGUAAUACUUUGUCUCAGUGGAGGAAAUCUUUUUGUAACCAGCUAGUUUGGGAGCAGCUCUAUGAAGUUGCACCAAGCUUGGUGGUUUGUUUGUGGGGGGGGUUGUGGGUGGUUUUUUUUGUUUGUUUGUUUUUUGGUAGCUAAUCAUAAAAUACUUGUAUGAACGGGACCCAUUUACUUUAUCAUAGAUCUACUCAAUCUGUUGCCAAAGGUUGUUUCAGUGGUCAGUGAACUAAGUAUCAGAAGUAUCCAAAGGGGUUAAAUUCAUUUCAGCUAUGAAGUCCAAGCAAUCACAGAUUCAUGGUCCUUCCUCAUUAUCCUAUUCCUCACCAAACUAUUAGGCCACUAUGAAGACCCCACCUGCAGCCCUGCUGACUGAAGCUGCAUUUCUGAAAUGCUACUCUUUAGCACUGGUGGCAGCCCUUGUAUGGGAAGCCUAAAUGUUGUGGAGAGUUUUGCAUUUGACUUUCUCAACAGACUGAAUUGUGCCUUUGCUCAUAAGGUGUUCCUCAGAAGCAAACCACUCUGCUAGAAAACCUAGCCAAUGGAUAAUACAUAGUAACAAACAUUAUUUGCCAAAGUACACACAGCUGCUGCCUCUACAUCAAUCUAAGCCCCAUCAAUAAACCAUAGAGAUUCAACCACUCAAAAUUGGCCUGAAGUGAGUUUUCUCUAUAUAUCAUC